rnacentral:tRNA from 1 species
GGCAAGAUGGCCGAGCGGUCUAAGGCGCUGUGUUCAGGUUUCUCUCAGAAACUUCGCAGUGGAGCAAUCCGCGCGAGUUCGAAUCUCGUUCUUGUCA